rnacentral:rRNA from 1 species
UACGGGGGGGGCUAGCGUUGUUCGGAAUUACUGGGCGUAAAGCGCACGUAGGCGGUUUGUCGCGUCUGCCGUGAAAGUCCGGGGCUCAACUCCGGAUCUGCGGUGGGUACGGGCAGACUAGAGUGAUGUAGGGGAGACUGGAAUUCCUGGUGUAGCGGUGAAAUGCGCAGAUAUCAGGAGGAACACCGAUGGCGAAGGCAGGUCUCUGGGCAUUAACUGACGCUGAGGAGCGAAAGCAUGGGGAGCGAACAGG